UCUCUCGUGGCGCAAUUGGCAAGCGCGUUCGACUGUUAAGCACACCAGUACAUCGAGAGGUUGAAAGUUCGAGCCUUUCCGAGAGAG